rnacentral:lncRNA from 1 species
GAAAGGGAGGGAAAAGGAAGACAAAUAUCAAAUCCAAUUGAUCAAAUGUGAACCAAGUCAACAUCAAUCAAUGCCAAACAGAAAAGAAAUGAAGAUUACAAGUCAACUAGUCAACCAUAAUUUUUUGGUAUUUUUUUGAAUUAAAAUAAAAUGCAAAUAAAAAUAAUCAAAAUAAGGUCAAAUCUCAAAUUCAAUUCAAAUAAACUUCAACAAGCCCAAUUAAAUUCUCAAAGGUCUAACAUAGUCAAAUAAACUUUGACUCAUUUUCUCAACAAUUU